rnacentral:tRNA from 1 species
GAGGGUAUAGCCCAGUGGUAGAGCUCACAUUUAGCAAGCACAAGGUCCUGGGUUCAAUCCCCAGUACCUCCA